AUUUCUUGAACCUAAUCUAAUUUACGAACAUGAAGUAGUAGAUUUUCACACAAAUUUAAAGAUAUUGGAAGGGAAUGUGGUAACUUCUAUUGUGAAGGGAGUAGAGAUUAUCUUUGAUGCAACUAAGCUGGGUGAAAUUUUACACUCUAUGGGUAUUACUGACUAUUGUUGGGUUUCUGAUGAGCACUCUGGUCUUCCGUCCAUGUUCUCUCAAGGAAGGGUCACCUCUAGGGUUCAGACCGUGUUAAAGGGAGUCAUGGGACCAGUUCAUAAACUUCUAUUCAAAAUAGUGCACAAAGGGAUAUUACCCAGGGGUCACUAUCGUCAUAUUGCUUCUCUAAGGGACAUAGGACUUAUGAAUGCUCUUGAAUGCAAAGACCAUAUUGAUUUACUAAUUAUCAAACAUUUGGCUCGAAUUUUUGAUCCUCAACUUGGUUCUCAUCAAUUGGCAUUCGAUAAUCUUCUAACCAGAGUGUUUACUGUGUUUGAGGUGGCAUUGGGGGAAGGAUGGGCUUUGACUCGCGCAGACAUGUUUACUCAAUCAAUUCUCGCUGAUUGUGGCAUUCCCAUUGAACCGGAGCAGGUUUCUAAUGCUUCUCCAUGUCCAUUUGGUCCUGUUUCUCAAUUGCUUAGGGAACUCAAAGUUGUAGAAGACAAAACUGCCACCCUUGAAUUGGAAAACUAGACUUUGCGUGGUGAACUUCGCCCUUCCCAUGCUGAGAUUGAUCGUCUGAAAGAUCACUUGGUGUAACAACAGCUUGUUAACAAUGCAAGGGUUGACAGAGUCCUUGAUGUGCUUGUUUCUUCCUCCUCCCAUCCUUCCAAGCCUAGCCAAUCCUCAACUUAAAUAGAACUUA
rnacentral:misc_RNA from 1 species